ACAAUUGAAUCAAAAAAUUCAAACUAGACGUUGAAUUGACUUCCUUGCCCAGUGGGCUGCCAUGUUGAGACAGAGACACAUUGUUUGGGUGGUGUGAAAUUGAGCUUCAUAAGCAAACCGUUUCAAUGGCUCAGUGGGUUAGCCUUGCGAUCAGGCUGGGUUAGAGGAGGGUACUACAGACAACAUCAGGCUGGGUUAGAGCAGGGUACUACUGGCAACAUCAGGCUGGGGUUAUAGCAGUGUACUACAGACAACAUCAGGCUGGGUUAGAGCAGGGUACUACAGACAUCAUCAGGUUGGGUUAGAGCAGGGUACUACAGACAUCAUCAGGUUGGGUUAGAGUAGGAGUGACAACCUUUUUGGCUCAAGGGCCACAUCGGG
rnacentral:lncRNA from 13 species